AGAUAUUAUGAUGUUGGAUAAAGAAGCCUAGACCAGUGUUGAAAUAGGAAUGCUUAUUACCGCGAUUGUUCGGAACGAAGUCGAGUAGAAUAUGUCCUUAAUAAAUAAGCGGAUAAAGAUGAUUUAAAUAUUGAUGGAUUUGAGUGAUGAAGGAAUCAGUAGAAAAAGUGAAAUAGACUUUGGAACCAUUUGUGGUAUAUUGUGAUGCGUCGUUGAUGGGUUUGGAUGGUGUAUUGAUGUAAAACCAGUAAGUAGUAACUUAUGCGUCGAGACGAUUGAAAGCGCAGGAAAGGAAUUAUCUGACUCAUGAUUUAGAAUUGGCAGCCAUGGUUUGUUUGAAGUUGCAGUAACAUUAUUGGUAUGGUUCGAGGUUGCCUCUAAAAAUGUCGAUGCUGAUGGUGAAAGAGUUGGAUUUAAUUGAACAAUUCAGAGAAUUAAGUUUGGUAUGUGAAAGUGCUCCUAAUAAUGUUAGAUUGGGUAUACUGAAACUGACUAAUGGUAUUCCUGACGAGAAUAGAGAAAGUCAGAAAGCUGAUGUUGAGUUGAUCGAUAAGUCGACCUUGGAUUACAAAGGUAAAGACGGCGAAUUCAGAAUUAACGAGGAUGGUGUAAUGAGGUCUAGAAGUCGCGUUUGCGUUCAAGAUGCUACCGGGUUGAGAAUUCUAGAAGAAGGACACCGUAGAGAAUUAGACAAUGUUAAUGAGUUGAGUAUAAACUCAGGAAGGACACUAUUAUGUAGUAACAACGGUUUAUGCUUAAACAUGAUUGUCGGCUAUCUAUUGACAAAUUGAGGACUUGAUCACCCUUAAUCUCUUGUUGAUAGUAGGCGGAGUCAUAUAGAUAGUAUGAGAUUGCUUGUUACCUUAAUGGUAUAAGAUGUGGUGAAGGUUGAGAGGUGAGAAUAACCACUCACCAUAUUGUGGGAACUUAUGAGGAAGUGAAUAUGAAGGAGUGCAAAGUAUUGGACGGUGACUUAAGACGAGUAGUCGUAGUCGUACAGCGAAAGUAUGAUGUAAAGUGGUGUUAUGAGUGCUACUCGUGAGUAGUGAGAAUUAAUAUGUCGGGGUUCUACAUGGAGAAUAUGUGUUUAUCUAUAUGUUGGGUUUAGAAUCUCGUGGACGUGAGGAUGUCGUGCCAAAGGAUUAUGACCUUUUGAAUAAUUGCCGAGAUGAUGGAUAUCCUAUUAUGGUUGAAUGUAGUUAAUGAGUAUGUGUUCGAAGAAUGUUAAGACAACGAGUUGAUACUAUGUAAUGCCAUAAUAAUUUUGUACUGUUGUAAGGUGUUAUGUAAAUUUAUGAAUAUAAUGUGGAAUUAUACUCUGCGAAGGACGAAGUUAAUCUGAUUCUUAGUGGAGAGUGGGACUCAAUUGAGCUACCUUGUAAGCAAUGGUAUAUUGAGGAUAAUGAGCUAUGUAAUUAUAACUACUGAUGUGUGCUUGUUCCGAUAGUGGGAAUGUUUUUAAUAGAUGAAGUAACUCGGGAAUUUGCUUUGAGUAAGUGUAAGUAUUACUUUAUCGCUCAAUUGCAAGAGUGUGCCUAAGGUUGGUACGUGAGUAAAUGGAAUCCAUUACUACAGUGUUGAUCAGUUGCGAUCAUACCAUGGAUUAUGUAAUUGUAUUAUUCAGUUGUUGAGUGUAUUGUAUGGAUCGUACCUCGAAGUUUCAUUGUCGUUAAUCGUUGGAGUAUAGCGAGUGGUAUACCCUGGGAUGGUCAGAUGCGAAGUAAGGGCGGAGAUUGAAUGCAUGAGAUAUGCUGGUGUUGGUUAUGUCAGAUGAAUUUUGAGACUCGACUAAGAAGGUGUUAACGGAGAAUGGGAGAGAGUCAAAUGAAGUACUCUUAUCUGGGACUUUACUUGAAGUAUGUUUUCGAGGACGAAAACUCUUUUAGUGGGGGAGAGUUGUAACACCCCAUAAUUUCAGUUUAUUAAUUUAAUUUGGAUUUAAAUUAAAUAAUUGGAAUUUUAGUAUUUUUAUUUGGAAUUAUUUGGAAAAUGAUGAAAUAUUGACAUUUGGGCCUAGAGUGGUGAUUAGCAGAAGAGGGGGUGUUGACUAAGCAAGCCCAUUAUAAUAAUUAUUUUAUUUUUCAUAAAAUAAGGAAUUUGGGGAAAAGAGGAAGGAGAAGCAGGAACUGAGUCUGAAGAAAGGAGAACACGUGAAAGUGAGAAGAGCCAAAGGGGAAGAGAACUUCGAAGAUUCGACUCUGAGAUUAAGGAUGUAGCGGCGUCUUGAUUGGGUGAAGAUAGCUUAUAGGCUAGCCCUUAGUCCGUGUCGAGUCAUGCUCUGAAUGUAACACUGGGGAACGCUAGUUUAGAGACGAGUUAUUAUGUCGGUCUUUGUUGUUUAUAAUUGUAUUAGAGAACUUGCAUGAAUGAUGAUGAUUAUGCAAUGUUAUGAAUUAUAAUCCGCUGUGUUGAACAUGAAUUGUAUUUAUGUUAAAUGGUUCCUCGUGUGGCAUGACAAAUGACUAUAGUAUUUUAUGUUAAAGAAGUUGUGA